CCUACGGGAGGCAGCAGUGGGGGAUAUUGCACAAUGGGGGAAACCCUGAUGCAGCGACGCCGCGUGGGCGAAGAAGUAUUUCGGUAUGUAAAGCCCUAUCAGCAGGGAAGAAGAAAUGACGGUACCUGAGUAAGAAGCACCGGCUAAAUACGUGCCAGCAGCCGCGGUAAUACGUAUGGUGCGAGCGUUAUCCGGAUUUACUGGGUGUAAAGGGAGCGCAGGCGGCACGGCAAGCCUGAUGUGAAAGCCCGCGGCCCAACCGCGGGACUGCAUUGGGAACUACCGGGCUGGAGUGCCGGAGAGGUAGGCGGAAUUCCUAGUGUAGCGGUGAAAUGCGUAGAUAUUAGGAGGAACACCAGUGGCGAAGGCGGCUUACUGGACUGUAAAUGACGCUGAGGCUCGAAAGCGUGGGGAGCAAACAGGAUUAGAUACCCCGGUAGUC
rnacentral:rRNA from 1 species